rnacentral:lncRNA from 1 species
CCAUGUCCCCAUUCCUGGUGGUGGCACCCAUGUCCCCAUGUCCACAACCCCCAUGGUGGUGGCACCCAUGUCCCCAUUCCUGGUGGUGGCACCUGUCCCCAUGUCCCCAUGGUGGUGGCACCCAUGUCCCCAUUCCUGGUGGUGGCACCCAUCCCUGUGUCCCCAACACCCAUGGUGGCACCUGUCCCCAUGUCCCCAUGGGGGUGGCACCCAUGUCCCCAACCCCCAUGGUGGUGCCAUCUGUGUCCCCAUGUCCCCAACCCCUGCUGGUGCCACCUGCCCAUGCCCGGUGCCACUGCUGUCCCCAUAACCGGGGGGGGACACCUGGGGGCCACCUGUCCCCUGCCCCCUGCCCCCUGUCCCCUGUCCCUGUCCCCUCGGGGGGGGAACCAGGUGCCCGAGGCCACCCCACGUCCCCUUUUGGUGUCCCCGUGGGUGUCACGGGGGGGACGGGGAUUUUUUUUGGGGGGGGGGGCCAGACCCCGCUGGGGGCGCCGCCCCCCCCCCCCCCAGCCCCUCCCCCGCUUCCUCCGGCGUUAAAAAAAGCGCCAGCGCCGCGUCACCAUGGUGACGGUGACAGCGGGGGGACGCGGCCACCGCCACCGCCACCGGGACCGCCACCGCCACCCGUGGCACCAGUGACACCAGUGACACCGCCACCAAAACCAGCGCCACCUGCGCUGUCCCCGUGCUGCCACCGGUGCCACCAGCGCUGUCACUGCCACCAGUGUCACCAGUGCCACCAGUGCCACCAGUGCCACCACCACUGCCACCAGUGUCACCACCACUGCCACAAUAUCACUGCCACCACCACUGCCACCACCACUGCCACCAGUGUCACCACCAGUGCCACCAGUGCCACCAGUGUCACCAGUGUCACCAGUGUCACCAUCACUGCCACCAGUGUCACCAGUGUCACCAGUGUCACCAUCACUGCCACCAGUGCCACCAUCACUGCCAUCAUAUCAGUACCACCAGUGCCACCAGUGUCACCACCAGUGCCACCAGUGUCACCAUCACUGCCACCAGUGUCACCAGUGCCACCAGUGUCACCACCAGUGCCAUCAUAUCACUGCCACCAGUGCCACCAGUGUCACCAUCACUGCCACCAUCACUGCCACCAGUACCACCAUCACUGCCACCACCACGGCCAUCACUGCCACCACCAGUGCCACCAUAUCAUUGCCACCAGUCCCACCAUCACUGCCUCCACCAGUGCCACCAGUGCCACCAGCACUGCCACCAGCACUGCCACCAGUGUCACCAUCACUGCCAUCAUAUCACUGCCACCACUGCCACCAUAUCACUGCCACCAGUGCCACCAGUGCCACCACCACCGGUGCCACCACAGCCACCCCUGUCCCCGCCACCGGCCCCGUGGCAGUGGCACCGCCACCAGCAGGGACGUGUCCCCCGGCCCCGCUGUCCCCACGCUGCCACUUGCGGCGGGCGACGUCCCCAACCCCCGGUGUCCCCUCACCCCCCCCCGGUGUCCCCAGAGUCACCCCAGUAUCCCCUCAGAGUCCCCCCGCUGUCCCCACACACUUGGCACCCCCCAAAUCCCCCCAUGCCCCCCUGACCCCCCCUGUCCCCCCAUUGUCCCC